rnacentral:antisense_RNA from 1 species
GAUGCCUGAAACUGCAAUAGUACCGAACUCUGUAUAUACUAUGUUUUUCCCUAUACAUACAUAUCUAUGAUAAAGUUUAAUUUAUAAACUAGGCACAGUAAUAGAGUAACACAAUAAUAAAAUAGAACAAUUAUAACAAUACGCCAGCGUCGCUUCUCUUCUGCUUUGGGGCCACUAUUCAUUCAAGUAAGGGUGACUUGAACCCAAGCACCAUAAUACCACUGCAGUCGAGCUGUUAACCAAGACGAAGUGACUAACGGGCAGGCCGUGUGGCUGAUUCACAUCCCAGGUGGGACGGAGCAGGAUGUGUAAGAUUUCAUUACGCUACUCAAAACGGCAUGCAACUUAACACUUAUAAAAUAUUUAUUUCUGGAAUUUUCCAUUUAAUAUUUUCAGACUGCAGUUGACAGCAGAUAACUGAAAGCUCGGAAAGCGAAACCGUGGAUAAGCAGGGGAACUGUGGCAUCCCAUUUAAAAUUGCUUCUGAAGAGAAGCAUGAGGUUACAUCUGUAAUCUCCCUGCAGCAGAGUCAACUGCAUAAGAAACCAAAAGACACACCUGCUCCAUGCCAGGUUAGUACCCACCCAUCACCCUCAUAAUUUUGCCAAAACUUUAGAUAUGUUUGUGAGUAUUAGCCAAGUAUGUGUAUUAAAAAUCUGUCUUCCCAGAA